rnacentral:rRNA from 1 species
GACGAAGGGGGCUAGCGUUGUUCGGAAUUACUGGGCGUAAAGCGCGUGUAGGCGGUUGUUCAAGUCAGGUGUGAAAGCCUUGAGCUCAACUCAAGAAAUGCACUUGAUACUGGAUGACUAGAGGACCGGAGAGGAUAGUGGAAUUCCCAGUGUAGUGGUGAAAUACGUAGAGAUUGGGAAGAACACCAGUGGCGAAGGCGGCUAUCUGGCUCGUUUCUGACGCUCAGGCGCGACAGCGUGGGGAUCAAACAGG